rnacentral:rRNA from 1 species
UACGUAGGUGGCAAGCGUUGUCCGGAAUCACUGGGCGUAAAGCGCACGUAGGCGGAUUGCUAAGUCAGGGGUGAAAUCCUGGAGCUCAACUCCAGAACUGCCUUUGAUACUGGCGAUCUUUGAGUCCGGGGAGAGGUGAGUGGAACUGCGAGUGUAGAGGUGAAAUUCGUAGAUAUUCGCAAGAACACCAGUGGCGAAGGCGGCUCACUGGCCCGGUACUGACGCUGAGGUGCGAAAAGCGUGGGGGAGCAAAACAGGG